CUGCUGGUGGGUACUGGACGGCGCAACAAGGCACUGGUCGACGCAACAAGUGACGCCCAGACUGGAGUUCCUCUCCUUCCAAGCCAGGAUUGUGGUCGCGCAACAAGGCACUGGUCGGCGCUACUAAUCUGGUUAUUCUUCACUGCGACGGCAACGCCAACAGCGAACUUGGAGGUGUUGCGGCUCUGCACACCUCUUGGUUAG
rnacentral:misc_RNA from 1 species